rnacentral:rRNA from 1 species
UUAUAUGAUCAAGUAAAGGGAGAGCACAAGGCGGAUUCCUUGGCAGCAUAAGGCGAUGAAGGACGUAGUAACCUGCGAUAAACCGCGGGAAGUUGGUAAACAAAUUUUGAUCCGAGGAUUUCCGAAUGGGAAAACCCAAUAUACAUAAGUAUAUUAUCUUAUACUGAAUACAUAGGUAUAAGAAGCAAACCUAGGGAACUGAAACAUCUAAGUACCUAGAGGAAAAGAAAUCAAUUGAGAUUCCGGUAGUAGCGGCGAGCGAAACUGGAACAGCCCUUAAGCUUAUUUUAGUCCAGCAAAAUAUUCUGGAAAGUUUAGCCAUAGUAGGUGAUAGCCCUGUAUGUGAAAGACUAAUAUAAGUGAAAUCGAGUAGGUCGGGACACGUGAAAUCUUGACUGAACAUGGGGGGACCAUCCUCCAAGGCUAAAUACUCUAUGCUGACCGAUAGUGAACCAGUACCGUGAGGGAAAGGCGAAAAGAACCCCGGCGAGGGGAGUGAAAUAGAACCUGAAAUCUUGUGCUUACAAGCAGUCGGAGCAGAACUUGUUCUGUGACGGCGUACCUUUUGUAUAAUGGGUCAACGACUUAAUUUUAGUAGCAAGCUUAACCAUUUAGGGUAGGCGUAGGGAAACCGAGUCUUAAUAGGGCGCUCAGUUGCUGGAAUUAGACCCGAAACCGGGUGAUCUAUCCAUGGCCAGUGUGAAGGUCGAGUAACAUCGACUGGAGGCGCGAACCCACUUAUGUUGAAAAAUGAGGGGAUGAGCUGUGGAUAGGAGUGAAAGGCUAAUCAAACCCGGAGAUAGCUGGUUCUCUUCGAAAACUAUUUAGGUAGUGCCUCGUGUAUUACCAUAGGGGGUAGAGCACUGUUUCGGCUAGGGGGUCAUCCCGACUUACCAAACCGAUGCAAACUCCGAAUACCUAUGAGUAUGAGCACGGGAGACAGACUGCGGGUGCUAACGUCCGUAGUCGAGAGGGAAACAACCCAGACUGUCAGCUAAGGUCCCUAAUUAUGAUUAAGUGGGAAACAAUGUGGGAAGGCACAAACAGCUAGGAGGUUGGCUUAGAAGCAGCCAUCCUUUAAAGAAAGCGUAAUAGCUCACUAGUCGAGUCGGCCUGCGUGGAAGAUAUAACGGGGCUAAAUCAUAAACCGAAGCUACAGAUCUUGUUUCAAGAUGGUAGAAGAGCGUUCUGUAAGCCGUUGAAGGUAAGCUGUGAGGCGAACUGGAGGUAUCAGAAGUGCGAAUGUUGACAUGAGUAACGAUCAAAAAGGUGAAAAACCUCUUCGCCGAAAAACCAAGGGUUCCUGUCCAACGCUAAUCGAGGCAGGUUGAGUCGGCCCCUAAGACGAGGGCGAAAGCCGUAGUCGAUGGGAAACAGGUUAAUAUUCCUGUACUUUUUACAAUUGCGAUGGGGUGACGGAGAAGGUUAAGUCAGCACGGCGACGGUUGUCCGUGUUUAAGAUUGUAGGCUGAUGUUUUAGGUAAAUCCGGAACAUUAAGGCUGAGAAUUUACGACGACCACUUAUUAAGUGGGAAGUGGCUGAUACCAUGCUUCCAGGAAAAACCUCUAAGCUUCAAAUUGUAAGAAACCGUACCCUAAACCGACACAGGUGGUUAGGUCGAGUAGACCAAGGUGUUUGAGAGAACUAUGGUGAAGGAACUAGGCAAAAUAGCACCGUAACUUCGGGAGAAGGUGCGCCGCGAUUGGUGACGAGACUUGCUCUCUGAGCUGAACGUGGUCGAAGAUACCAGGUGGCUGCGACUGUUUAUUAAAAACAUAGCACUCUGCAAA